CUGACAGUAUGCGUGUUAUCUUCAUCCUCCACCAACCUUUGUCCCAGGUGCUUGCGCAAUAGCUGAAUACGCAGACACACCCUCACUCUCUCCUCCUUCUCUCUCUGUGUGUCUCUCAAUCUCGCUCUACUUCCUCUUCUUGUGUCCUCUCCAGUCCUGCCCUGCACUGCUUCAUUCGUGUCGACUGCCCAGAGUCCGCGAAUACAACCCUGCUACAACCACACACACAGAGACGUUGUUUGACAUCAUCUUAUCGUUCCUGUCCACUGGAGGAAGGAGAGAGUUCCAACCAAUCCCUGACAAGAAGAAGACAUUCCGAUCCCAGCCACAUUCCAGAACCCUGUGGAACCCUUGUUGAAGCAUGUCCCUGUACAGCUUUGGGCUGGAGCCUCUCUCCUGCCAUGCCUGGAAUAAGGACAGGACACAGAUUGCUGUCAGCCCCAACAGCAGUGUGGUGAUCAUCUAUGAGAAGAAGGGGAACGAGUGGGCCAAGAUCCACGAGCUGACUGAGCACAGUGGACGAAUCACAGGCAUCGACUGGGCUCCGGAUUCGAACCGCAUCGUGACGUGUGCAUCGGACCGUAAUGCGUACGUGUGGACACUGAAGGACAAGGUGUGGAAGCCCACUCUGGUGUUGGUGAGGAUCAACCGGGCUGCUACCUUUGUCAAGUGGUCCCCUCUGGAGAAUAAGUUUGCCCUGGGCAGCGGAGCUCGCCUCAUCUCUGUCUGCUACUUCGAGAAGGAGAACGACUGGUGGCUCAGUAAGCACAUAAAGAAGAGCAUCCGGUCCACGGUGAUGUGUCUGGACUGGCACCCCAACAACAUCCUGCUGGCUGCUGGGUCCUCUGACUUCCACUGCAGGAUCUUCUCUGCCUACAUCAAGGAAAUCGAGGACAAGCCAGGCCCGACAGCGUGGGGGGCUAAGAUGCCAUUUGGGGAGAUGCUGCUGGAGACCAAGGACUGUGGAGGUUGGGUACACAGUGUCUCCUUCUCCCCCAGCGGAGACCACCUGGCCUGGGUCGCUCACAACAGCAGCAUCAGUGUGGCCGACGCCACCCAGGGGAAAGAGGUGACUCAGCUGACAACGGACCGCCUACCUCUAGUGAGCGUGCUCUAUGUGAGCCCCACAGAGAUGGUUGCCGCGGGCCAUGACUGCUGUCCGUUUCAGUUCUCCUAUAAGGGCCCAGGCAGUCUGAAGUUUGUUAAGAAGCUGGACAUCCCCAAGCAGACCUCUAGGGGCAGCAUGUCCGCCAUGCAACACUUCCGCAAUCUGGAUAAGAAGGCUACUGAUGAUGAGAGCAACGAGCUGGGCUGCCUGCACCAGAACAGCAUCACGUGAGGAGAGAGGGAGUGUUCAGCUGUGUAUCGUGUCAGGAACUAAGGCCCACGUGGACAAGUACAGCAGUGUGGGUCUGGACGGAGCUAUGGUCCUCUGGGACUUCAAGCACUGAGUUCAUGGAGGUUGCUAGAGCCAUAUGCUGUGUCUUGCCAUCUGUGCGGUCAGCAUCACUCCAGCUGACCAUGGGACUCACCACUACCAGUUGUUAUUAACAUCUACAUUAAGCAGUUAGUUUCACCGGGGUUGGGGUCAAUUCCAUUUCAAUUCCAGUCAAUUCGGAAAGUAAAUCAAAUUCCAAUUCCAAUUUUAAAAAAUGUUCCUCAUUGAAAAGUAUUGAAGAGAAUUGGAAUUUCAGUGUACUUUCUGAAUUGACUGGAAUUGAAAUGGAAUUGACCCCAACACAGAGUCACACCACUGUCAGGUGACCUAUUAUUUUACACAGAUAGAUGUGUUAUCAUGUGUAUUCAUUUUCAACUGGAACAGUAGACGCUUCUGCAGCUUCAAGAUGUUUUGCAAUAAAUCAUGUUGCUUUGUGCUGGGUUUCAAUCAACGAAUCAAUAUUUUGGAGUAAAUAAACAUGCUUUCUACA